GCGUCGGUAGUGUAACAUUCUAGCAUACGGCUCCUGAAAAGAGUUGUGAUCCGGGUUCGAAUCCCGGGCUGACAGCA